UAUACCGAGUAAUCAAGCCUCUUUGCCUAAGCAAGCAUUGAGUUUUGCAUUAAAAAGUGUGAAAGCAGAGAAGCUUUAUUGUAAAGUUAGUCUUAACUCGUAGUCUGUUUGAUUCAAGUAAGUUUGAAGAGUAUUUUAUACCUAGUGUCCUAAAGCCAACUAGUUUGUGGGUCAUUGGCUAAAAACUUGCUAUACAGAUUAGACAGAAAGCUUAAGGGAUUAAGACACUCAAUAGCAGUACAAUAUUAAAAAAAAAUCAAUAAAUAA
rnacentral:lncRNA from 1 species